ACUCCUAACAAUCUACUUACCAUUUCAAAAGUGCGGGCGAACAUUCCAAGACUUGCCACUUCAGAGAUUUUUUGGACCUUUAUCUUUCCUCAGUUUCUCUGCAAACAAAACCUAGAAAGUACCUCUGCAAUCAUCUUCUUCUCCGAGUUUACGAUGCUUCCAUUCGCGCCAAUUGCUUGAACUCAGAAGAUACGAUUCUUACUUUUUUCACCGAUUCCAAUUUCGACUCUGUAUUUCCUCAGUUAUCUCAGGCAGUUGGAUUUUGUUCUAGUAAAUGACUUUGAUACAUUUUGGCGGAUAUAGAGAAGGAGAUGAGCGUGGAUGAUACUGUAAAGGAACUGGGUUGUGGCUGCACACUCAACACUACCCACUGCAAAAGGCAUCUUAUCUCUUUUCUUACCUCUCACUGAGGUCACAAUAUUCAACUUUCUGUUCUGCUGUUGGUGGGAGGUCAUGCCAGGUGUUGGUUCUAUAAUGUCUACUACAGGUGGAUUUGGUAAAGUUGUAAUCGUGGCAUCAAUAUUGAGCGCAAAUUGUAGCAGGAUCCCUUCCCUCUUCAUGCCAUAUGAGGGGCUGCGUGGAGCAAUGCUGAAGGCAAGAUAUCUUUUCUAAGAUAUGCUGUGUCCGCGUCGCCUGAAAUUUUCACGUUUGUGCACUCCGCCAGACAGCUGGUGUACCCCGAUGCAACUCAUGGUCAUAAGCUCUCAACUGGAAUGAAAAUCAGUCUUGGUUUUGUCUUGACCUGUUGGAUGUUUUAUGCCAACUCGCUGAGAUGGGCCAUGCUGGCUCGGUCCGAGAUCAAUGCUCGGGGACCCACUGCAACACUUUCCUGAAGUCUAGCUGUGUGGAUUAUCCCAGACUAAUUGUUCUCAUUCCAACAAGUCAUGCAUUGCGGUUCAGCAUGUGUAUAUCUGAUUAUCUGUUACCUUCAGAUGUUUGUAUUUGGGCGAAGGCGCUCGGGCAGUUUGUGCUUGUUUGGUGGAGUGGCCUCAGUAUUGCAAUCAUAUCCUGCAAAUUUCUCAAUUUACGUGCAACCCAUUUACAUUCAUCGAGCGUGCUCUUGCCACGAUCUCAUCCAGGCACUCUGAAUCAAAUGGAGGCAUCAUUGACCCUAUGGAUCAGCACCAAGGACCAAAUCCGGUUCCCUUCAAAAACAUGGAGCUUCUUGAGAUUGCCGGAAUGCCUCUGCUGAUGUCCCUGCUUCUCCAAAAUAUAUAAUUAGCAAGGACGAGAAAGGGAAGCAGUCCAGAGACACAAAGGCUCCCUCUAUUUAUUCACCUGUAAGGGAUGAGGAACCUAUGGCAGCAGAUCCUCUUGGCUUCCAUGAGCAGAUUCUGACAGCAAUCACAAAUACCUUCCAGCAUUGUAGCCUCUUAAAGUACAUUGGUUUUGGUUACGAUUUCAUAACUAAUCUUUUUCCUUGAUCUUUAUUUGGUAUAUGGUCAUUUGACACAAAAUACUAAAUGGUCAAAUACCUUGAUAUUUCAAGCUCGUUCUACCUGAUUUUCACUGAUAUUUUUGCAUAAAUUGCUAGUUACAAGCCAAUUUGCUUAAUAGCUUUGCGUGGCUGGAGCUGGUGAGUCAGAGGAGUUUUAUACCAAGAUUGUUUUAUGGAAAUUCCCAGAAGACUUGACCUUAUGGAGACGUACUUGACAAAUGCUGAGAUUGGAGAACCUGUAAGCUUAUUUUUCUUGAAUCAUUCAGUAAGUUGCAUGCUUAUCUGUUCAGUUUGCGGGUGUAAAAUUAUCUACUAUUCCGGACCACAUGUGCAACGUUAUACCCAACA